UGGUCAUGCUCGGUUUUUUUUUUGUGACGAUUACCGUUGUUAUUAAUAUUAUUCGUAUCGACAUUUUGACUCUUCGUCGCCGUCGUUGACAAAGGCUUACGAUGCGUUAGUAUCUUGCAGUGGCGUGCUCAGUUCUUUCGAAAGCGAACGUAUCAGUUUUAGACUAUUUUCAGCUGAUCACUAUGUAUUAGCUAGACGACGAAAAAUUGUAUUCUUGCUUAUUUGCCGACUGCAGGUGCUAUUAUAGCAGCUCUUAUAACACGAUAGCGGAUUAUUGGAAUCGUUCGCCUACUGGAGUCAACCAGGCUGGUCCGGAUUUACAGGGAACAUACACAAAGCAGAAAAUUCAUAUAUCGGAAUCACCAAACUGGUUAAUGAGAUUCUCAAAUUGUUGUGACAUAAUUAUUGAGGAGAUACAAAUGAAAACCAUUAUGACGUACAAAAGAACAAAAAGAUAUUAAAAAAAUCAUCCGACUAAAAACUAUGCAGUUCUCAAUAAAGACAAUUCUCAUUUGAAAAAAUAAGUUUGUAUCGCUCCUGCAGGUCACUUCUUAACUUGCGUACAAAAUUAAAGUAUAGAAUCUUUCCGGACCGGCUGUUUAAGUUCUAUAAUAUGUGUAUCGGAUGUAACAGCAGUUGGCUUUGCAAACAAGAACGUUUUCGAUUAUUUCUGCGAUUAAAAAAAAAAAAAUACAAAUACUAUGAGAAACAGUACCAGUGACUGCUGUGAGUUUACCUGAGGCUAAAUAUAUCGUACAUCGUUUGCAGGAAUUUCCCGAGUGUGUCCUAAAAUUACCAACAUUUAAUGCCCUGAGUCCGGGGCAUCACCCAAGUACGUCCCAUGAAAAAUAUCAUAUUUUUGGCGAAGUGGACCCCAAGUGCACCACGAGGAAGUGUUGGAUCUACCCAAAAAAAAUAUUUGAUAAUUUUUAUUAAUUUUAUUAAUACACAUUUAAAGUUUGGGCGAGUGUACUAAUUUGUAUGGUAUUUUUUUUUCACUUUUCUGAAUUACACAAUAGGAUGUAUAUUGCACAGUGCACAACUAGUAAAAGUGAUUUAAGAAACACCAGUAUUCAAUCAGCACGACGAAUAUAACGAACACAAUAUUGUUUUUGUUAUGAAUAAUGUUUAAUUUUAUAAAGAUCUUGUUUAAGGUUAUACUUUAUACAAUUAUUUCGCGGUCAACACAAAGUUUCUACAACCGA